UUGAACUUCCACAUCAAAACCAACCCAAUUUAUAUGGUAUGAUACUCCUGUAGAUAAUUUAUGGCAAUUCUUUAUCAGAAAAAACUUGAAUUAUGAGGAAAUACAAGGGAUAAUCAACGCUUAAUACAAGAAGAGAAAGCGGGGAUCACCGGAAAGAACAAAACGCCAAAAUCUACAAAGCUUUAUAAUUGAGACAUCUAACCGGAUCAAUCCUCCAAUCAUCAAAUUUUUUCCAACUCUUGAUACUUUUUUUGUUUCUUUUACUAAACAUGACAGUCUUAAAGGAGACACCCUGUGUGACCGUUGCCAUAUUGGGGAAAUUUGAGGAUGGCCAAGAAGGAUGUUAUUAUCAAGGAUGUGUUGAGUGCACAAAAGUGUGUCUUUAAAAGAUGGAAAGCUGAUGUGAUAUGGUAAUCACAUCACUGCUGAAAAGGUGCCAAGGUAUAAGCUUGAAGUUUUGGCAACUGACAUGAAAUUCAAGGCAAGGUUUGUCUUUUGGGAUGGCGAUUGAGUGAAGUUAAUUGGAAAGUUUGCUUUUCAAAUGAGAAGGGAGUUGGUAGAGUUAGUUAAUUUCAGUUUGUUCAGCAGAUAAUUUUUAGAAUUUAAAUUUUAAUAUAGGUGUUGGUAUUAAUUCAGGCCAGUGAAGAUAAUUCCCUUGAAUUCCCUUAUGAACUUAAUGCAAUUUUUAAAAAGUAGUUGGCCAUUAGAGCUGUUUUUCAGCCAAAAUAUGGCUGACUUUCUGUCAUUGGCUUCAAAGAUUACAAAGAUUCCCGUAAAAAAAGCGAUACUUCCAAAUAUAAUGUACUCAACUGUGUUUGAAGCAAGUGUCCUAAAAUCGUUGUGGCAUCACAGCAUACACCGAAGUUUCGAACAUCCGACCCUUUGUCAUAAGAGGAACUAAGAAGUUUUUCAGAGCCUUUGUCUACAUCUGCAAAUUAUGACCCUGGUGUUGAAAAUUUUGUCCUGACUAUGUCAAAGAAAUCUUUAACUGAUGCAGUAGAAGAUAUUGAAAGUGUCCAACUUUUCUCAACCAAUAUAACCAAAGAGA